rnacentral:lncRNA from 1 species
UCAGAUUCUCUUUCUCACCUGUAUAUCAUCCACUUGGAUCACAUGAGACGAAUCCGGAAUGUAUCUCCUCAACUGAGACACAUAAAACACAUCAUGAAGAUUAGAAAGUGGCGGUGGCAAGGCAAUCUAAUAUGCCACCUCUCAUAUCCUCUGCAAGAUCUGGUACGGGCCAACAAAACAUGGUGUGAGCUUUUGAGACUUCAAAGCUUGACCAACACCGGUUACUAGAGUAAC